rnacentral:ncRNA from 2 species
UUCAUCCAAAAAGCGCCUGAACUGCUGACCGGAAAAAAGCAGUUGACGAGGAAGAGGUUCAUCGAUAUUUCGGCGGAUGCCUCUCGGAACAUUCACUUCCGUAAGCUUUUGUUCAAAUCAGGCAAGGUGACUUCCUGUACAAAGACGAAAGCAAGUGAAACC